AGUCGAAAGUAAAGACAACUGACAAUGUCAGAGCCGUGUCUGACCCUUCCCAGACAUCUAAAGCUCCUGUCGGACGGCCAAAGUCGAAAGUAAAGACAACUGACAAUGUCAGAGCCGUGUCUGACCCUUCCCAGACAUCUAAAGCUCAAACAGACAUUGUCACUGAGGCCACAG